rnacentral:rRNA from 1 species
UACGGAGGGAGCUAGCGUUGUUCGGAAUUACUGGGCGUAAAGCGCGCGUAGGCGGCUUUGUACGUUAGAGGUGAAAGCCCGGGGCUCAACCCCGGAACUGCCUUUAAGACUGCAUCGCUUGAAUCCGGGAGAGGUGAGUGGAAUUCCGAGUGUAGAGGUGAAAUUCGUAGAUAUUCGGAAGAACACCAGUGGCGAAGGCGGCUCACUGGACCGGUAUUGACGCUGAUGUGCGAAAGCGUGGGGAGCAAACAGG